UUUCGUAACCAUUUCAAACGACAACAUCACAGAAGGAAGAUCGAUUUCACUCUGAACAUAUGAACUAAAGUCUGUAAAGAGACGCAACAAAUACUACCCCAGAUAUGCAGUUUGUGAACUGGUCUUUGUUUACAAUCCAACAAUCCAGCAGUCCAACAAUAAGUUAUUGAUCCAAUCCCAUUCAUUGAUUUGUACUUGAAUAAUUAACACAGUCUAUAAUCCAACAACUACAAUGCAAAUUGCGAAGCCAGGGUUAAAUAAAAAUGAGAUUCCAUACAAAUGUUGUAUAAAAAAGUUGCUAUACUGUAGAUAUUCUACCAAAAUCCAACACUCAAAAAGUCACCACCAAAAAUAACCAUCAUGUGGUUAUUAAUUGUUAUUAUUUAAACCGAUUUCUAUAUAGUUUUAGCAUGUCCAAAAUAGACGAAAAGGAUAAUAAAAUAUUUAAAUAGGCAGGGACCACAUUUUUAAUUUCGGAAUUACCAGUCAGAGUAAGACCAGUAGGUAAUCGUACCAACUUUUUUUUCAAAAAGUAUUAGUUGGAUACCACAAUGGAGCAUGGCAGAAUUAUUUUUGUUUUACGUGAUAUUGUACUUAGUUCAUUAUAUUCCAUCUUAUAUAUAUAUUCAAAAGGACUGGAAAUUGCUUGUACCUUUAGCUACAUCUAAUGAAAAUAAACAAAAAUAAUUCUGCCAAGCUCCCUCGGUACAUACACCUUCCUUUCUCAUUAUUAUUUGACCUUGGCUUCCAUCAGUGAUGGUAUAAAUAAUCACCAGAGGCUGGUUGUUCAACGCUGGGUUAGCUUAACCCUAGGUUAACCUAAAAUUCAAAGCCGAAACUUGUUUAUAAAUUUGGAAAUAUUGCUUCAGAGAUCUUGUUUGGAUCAAUAGGAGUUUUCUUCUCUGAAGCUUUGAAAUAAACAGACGUGCAGAAAUACAUAAACCAAAACAGCAGGUUAAAUUUUAACCUGGGGUUAUUGCUAAUCCAGCUUGGAGCAACUGGCCCCUGUGCUUAAUUAAUCACUUCAUCAAAUGAAGGUUAUGUUAGAAAAUUUGUAUGAUGUAAUGAUUUUUUUUAAAAAUGUAAAUGUAUGACAUGUAUAUAAUAAAAUGUUAUAAUAUGUUGC